AAAACUAACUAAAAGUCAAAAGCCAACACGUAUAGUAUGAUCUAUAUACAAAUAUACUCAUAUAGAUCCGCAAUCGAAACUUCCUAUUCAAUUUCCGUUUUCGUUCUUUAUGCUAUUGAAUCGAUACUUACUAUAAUUGAUAGCAGCUGGUAAUACUUACCUAACAACAAUAGCAAUCUACAUAUAUCCUAAAAAUAUAAAGAUAAUACAUAUGCAACAACUACGAACUUAAAACUACGCCACAAAAAUGCACUAAGCUGCUGUUAACACCGGAUAUCAUAUUCAUAUCACUCACAAAAAACAGGAUAAAAGGAUAGCAGAGCGAAGAUAAUGCAUCGAGUUAUCAGAGUUGCAGCUCCAAUAUAUUUAAUUAGUUUUUUGAUAAAUAAACGAUAAUAAGCAACAAAAGCAAAAGCAAACGUAAUUCAAGGCCAGCCGCAAUUUAGUUAGUGACAUAUGAAAAAUAAAUAAA